rnacentral:lncRNA from 1 species
UGGUCGACCCAUCGCCGUAGGUGAUGCCAUAAGCGCAAGAGCUGGAGCAGCUGCUUCGGAGCUGACUGCAGUCCUGCGAGUUGCAAGGGAUCGCGGUGUAGGAGGAUGAUUGGGAUGGGUCAAAGAUCGGCUCCUGCUGCGAGUAGCACGCGGAGCAUGGUUUGCAUUGGAUCCAACUCAGGUCGCUCCCGGUGUCCAUCGUCACAGUCUGCUCUCGGCUGGGGGUGCCAUAGCCGACUGUGAUCACGUACUCCCCUCCUCCGUACUCCGCGGGGAUGCUUGCCUUGGAAUCAUCGACCUGUGGCUUGGCGGAAGACUUCAAGGCACUUCGCCGGAGAUAGUUGACUCUAAGUUGGUCUUUCAGAAGAAUCUCUUCUAGCGAUAGCAGUUUCUUGUCGUCGAAGGGGGAGCAGGGUCCAUGCCGAUGCACCAACGGGAAGGCGGUGAAGUUAGAUCCUGAGAAAGGCGAAACUAUCUUUUAAGGAAACUGUAUCAAAUGGUUUCAGCAAUUCAUGGGUAGCGGAGUAUGAGAUCUGCAGCCCAAAGAAAAGAUUGAUGCAAGAGAGCAACUGAGGUAUGACUGACCCUUGGACGAGGAGCAGACAACUUCGGGACUAGAAUUAUGAUUUCGAACCACGUGGUAGCUCUGAGCGUCUUCUCCGUUAGCAAGGGAAGAACAGUGACUCAGGAACAGAACAGAAGAGCAGAUUAAGAGAGCAGCCGAAGCCAUUUGCUGGGAAGAGACAAGCCCUGGGCGAAGGAUUGCAAUGGCAAUGCAUCCAAUUUAUAGAGACUUCAAAACCACUUUCUUUGUUCCACCAGAUUGGCCUCUGAUUUGAGUCAAGUAUGUCGACUAGUCGUUGACUUCAUAUUGACUGGCAUCGUCAAGUUCUUCCACACAAUCACGGAGCAAUUUAGGCUUAGUUUCGCAUUCCCACUGCAAAAUCCACGAAAUAAUUUGGUUUACGUCACAACGAUGAGAUCUAAAGGAAGACUUCGAACAGUUCAAAGUCGAAUAAUUAGAGCCACAACUCGAGUGCAAGACCGGAGAGAAGACUUUCAACAGUUCAACAUCUUGGUGUGAUUUCUUCACCGACCAAUCCUGACCGGCUCAUAAAUCGUCAACUAAUAACAACAACAACUAAAUGCUUCCUUAUGGCUGUUCUACGAGUCACCCAGGCGAGUGGAUCGGGAGCUAUUCGAGAGGGAAUUACACGGUAUACUUCCAUGUCCGCACGAACCAAAGUGCGCAAGAACAUGGACUCGUACUUCUGAAACCUGCAAUGAUAGAUCGAUAGCUCCGAUACUGUAUGUGAUGAACGGAUUGCACUAUGAGAAUAACUUCAGCUGGUCUGGUGUUGAAUCAAUGGUUGACAGCAGCAGAGGCUAAUCAAAAGAAGAAGACGAAGAGGAGGUACAGGCAGGGUAGGUGGCCGUGAAAGAGACACACUCCCAAAUGAUUGCGAAGGACAAGCUACUCCAAGUGACAUUAAAGAACUCGGCAACCAUGGCGUUUUCCAAUUAAUCAUGGACCAAUUUAGCUUUAUUUGGAGAGUAAAAUAGGAUGGAAAGUUAUCAGACUUGUAGAUCUUUAUGCAGACUAGAUGAGUUUAUUAUUAGUAACAUAUAUUUUCUACUCAUAUUAAGAUCUAUCAAAGUUGCAGAUGAUGUGAUUUAUAAGGAAAACAAUAUCACAACAGUUAUCCCUUUUAUUAAAAUUAUCACAAGUACAAGUUUGAAUUAUGAAUUAGACAUGAAUUUGCUAUUAGAUUUAAGCUUCCCAUACAUUUUCUGUUAUUUUUUUUUUAUCAAAUAUACUUUUCCUAUGAUUAAGAAUAAUCUACAGUAAAUUAAAUUAAAUGUGCCUCGAACAUCUAAUUAUAGAAUUAUAGCACGUCAGUCACAUCCCCUAGCUUUUCUCCAUCGUCUUCCUCCUUUCGAUGUGAUGACUAAAUAGGCAAUCGUUCAUUACACAAUAAAUUGUGGGUUGGAUUCGUCGUGGAAGGACCCUCGUGAUUUUUUAUUAUAUACGAAGAAAAAUACUGUUAGAUUAAUUAAUCUGAGCUCUAACUUAUACUUCCAAAACAUAAUUCCAAACACAUAAUUAACGAAGAAAAGAGACACACGUACAGAAGAAAAGGGAGGUGGAUGCUGAAAUAGAACGAUAGACAAUUCUGGUGAAGGUAAUAGAGGUUGACUGCCAGCUGCAGGUGCAUGCUAUAUAUCCUUAUUCCUCAUGCUAUUGAUUUAUUUAUAUUUAUAUAUAUGCAUGAGGUGAUACUGAUCAGCUGCAAGCGUGCGGCGCGAAUCCAAUUCUCUCAUUUCCUACAUCGUAGACUACUUCAAAUGUUCGCUGCUGCACAUUGCCAAUGAUCCCCAAGCGAUCAACUUGCUUACCAGAAAAUGCCAAGCAGUCAUGCCUGAGGAUCCCAGAUACGUUGAGAUCCAGUGUGACUCCAUCGAAGUGCAGCGCUACUUUGGGGACUGUUAUGGUCUUGUAGCCACUGAAGUCAUAACAGGUAUCAAGCAGUCCGUUAGUAGGCUUAAGAGGGUACGCCGACAUGUGCUCCCGGAACGCCGACCUCAGGGCCUCGUAGGCCGACGGCGGGAGGCGAGUGAUCGUAGUGCCGGAGUCCAAUAUCGUGCCACCGGACCUAAAAACCGAUGGCGAAAUGGCGAGCUGCUCCCCGGCCACGCUGAUUCCGAUCAGGUCAACGAAGUAAAAGCUUGGAUACUUGGAGCUGGUCUGCAUUCGAGUGUAAACGGUGUUGGAGGCGUCACUAGGUUCGCCCAGUUUUAGGAACCCCAUGUUGCUGGAAGUCGAAGGAAGGCAGUAGGAGAAGACCGAGUGGUAAAGUUGCGACGUCUGAGACACAAGCGACUGCUUGCCACGGCCGAGACCCACGAGCCCUGCGGCGUCGUGGAACAGCCCUUCGUUGUCGGUGCCGCACCCGAAGAGGAAGUGCUCGAUCACGUCGUUUGGCGACAGCGUCAGUCUGUCGUAGCUGUAGACUCCUGAACUGUUCGACCCAUCGCCGUAGGGGAUGAAAUAAGCGCAAGAGCUGGAGCAGCUGCCUCGGGGCUGACUGCAUUCCGACGAGUUGCAAGGGAUCGCGGCGUAGGAGGAUGAUUGGGAUGGGUCAAAGAUCGGCUCCUGCUGCGAGUAGCAUUUGUUGCAUGGUUUGCAUUGGAUCCAACUCAGGUCGCUCCCGGUGUCCAUCGUCACAGUCUGCUCUCGGCUGGGGGUGCCAUAGCCGACGGUGAUCACGUACUCCCCUCCUCCGAACUCCGCGGGGAUGCUUGCCAAGGAAUCAUUGAGCUGUGACUUCAC